AUACGGAGGGUGCAAGCGUUACUCGGAAUCACUGGGCGUAAAGCGCGCGCAGGCGGCUAUUUAAGUUGGAUGUGAAAGCCUACGGCUCAACCGUAGAACUGCAUCCAAAACUAUUUAGCUAGAGUGUGGGAGAGGAAGAUGGAAUUAGUUGUGUAGGGGUAAAAUCCGUAGAGAUAACUAGGAAUACCAAAAGCGAAGGCAAUCUUCUGGAACAGUACUGACGCUGAGGCGCGAAAGCGUGGGGAGCAAACAGGAUUAGAUACCCUAGUAGUCC
rnacentral:rRNA from 1 species